CUUUAAUAACAAAAAAGUUAUGCAAAAUUUUCGAUCUAAAAAAGUACAUGUUAAUCGUAAAAAACCGAAAUUUCGAUUUUUCUCAAAAACUAUAAUUUUUUCAAUUUUGAUAAUUAUGUGCAAGGUGCCCCUUUGCGAGGAGUACCUGGCAGUUUUUAAAUGAGAGCUCUAUCUUUAAUAACAAAAAAGUUAUGCAAAAUUUUCGAUCUAAAAAUGUACAUGUUAAUCGUAAAAAACCUAAAUUUCGAUUUUUCCCAAAAACUAUAAUUUUUUCAAUUUUGAUAAUUAUGUGCAAGGUGCCCCUUUGCGAGGAAUACUUGGCAGUUUUUAAAUGAAAGCUCUAUCUUUAAUAACAAAAAAGUUAUGCAAAAUUUUCGAUCUAAAAAUUACAUGUUAAUCGUAAAAAACCUAAAUUUCGAUUUUUCCCAAAAACUAUAAUUUUUUCAAUUUUGAUAAUUAUGUGCAAGGUGCCCCUUUGCGAGGAAUACUUGGCAGUUUUUAAAUGAAAGCUCUAUCUUUAAUAACAAAAAAGUUAUGCAAAAUUUUCGAUCUAAAAAUGUACAUGUUAAUCGUAAAAAACAUAAAAUUUCGAUUUUUCUCAAAAACUAUAAUUUUUUCAAUUUUGAUAAUUAUGUGCAAGGUGCCCCUUUGCGAGGAGUACUUGGCAGUUUUUAAAUGAAAGCUCUAUCUUUAAGAACAAAAAAGUUAUGCAAAAUUUUCGAUCUAAAAAAGUACAUGUUAAUUGUAAAAAACCGAAAUUUCGAUUUAUUUCAAAGACUACAAUUUUUUCAAUUUUGAUAAUUAUGUGCAAGGUGCCCCUUUGCGAGGAGUACUUGACAGUUUUUAAAUGGAAGCUCUAUCUUUAAUAACAAAAAAGUUAUGCAAAAUUUUCGAUCUAAAAAAGUACAUGUUAAUCGUAAAAAACCGAAAUUUUGAUUUUUCUCAAAAACUAUAAUUUUUUCAAUUUUGAUAAUUAUG